rnacentral:rRNA from 1 species
CUGUGAGCUCGAUGAGUAGGGCGGGACACGUGGUAUCCUGUCUGAAUAUGGGGGGACCAUCCUCCAAGGCUAAAUACUCCUGACUGACCGAUAGUGAACCAGUACCGUGAGGGAAAGGCGAAAAGAACCCCGGCGAGGGGAGUGAAAAAGAACCUGAAACCGUGUACGUACAAGCAGUGGGAGCACAGAGCAAUCUGUGUGACUGCGUACCUUUUGUAUAAUGGGUCAGCGACUUAUAUUCUGUAGCAAGGUUAACCGAAUAGGGGAGCCGAAGGGAAACCGAGUCUUAACUGGGCGUUAAGUUGCAGGGUAUAGACCCGAAACCCGGUGAUCUAGCCAUGGGCAGGUUGAAGGUUGGGUAACACUAACUGGAGGACCGAACCGACUAAUGUUGAAAAAUUAGCGGAUGACUUGUGGCUGGGGGUGAAAGGCCAAUCAAACCGGGAGAUAGCUGGUUCUCCCCGAAAGCUAUUUAGGUAGCGCCUCGUGAAUUCAUCUCCGGGGGUAGAGCACUGUUUCGGCAAGGGGGUCAUCCCGACUUACCAACCCGAUGCAAACUGCGAAUACCGGAGAAUGUUAUCACGGGAGACACACGGCGGGUGCUAACGUCCGUCGUGAAGAGGGAAACAACCCAGACCGCCAGCUAAGGUCCCAAAGUCAUGGUUAAGUGGGAAACGAUGUGGGAAGGCCCAGACAGCCAGGAUGUUGGCUUAGAAGCAGCCAUCAUUUAAAGAAAGCGUAAUAGCUCACUGGUCGAGUCGGCCUGCGCGGAAGAUGUAACGGGGCUAAACCAUGCACCGAAGCUGCGGCAGCGACGCUUAUGCGUUGUUGGGUAGGGGAGCGUUCUGUAAGCCUGCGAAGGUGUGCUGUGAGGCAUGCUGGAGGUAUCAGAAGUGCGAAUGCUGACAUAAGUAACGAUAAAGCGGGUGAAAAGCCCGCUCGCCGGAAGACCAAGGGUUCCUGUCCAACGUUAAUCGGGGCAGGGUGAGUCGACCCCUAAGGCGAGGCCGAAAGGCGUAGUCGAUGGGAAACAGGUUAAUAUUCCUGUACUUGGUGUUACUGCGAAGGGGGGACGGAGAAGGCUAUGUUGGCCGGGCGACGGUUGUCCCGGUUUAAGCGUGUAGGCUGGUUUUCCAGGCAAAUCCGGAAAACUAAGGCUGAGGCGUGAUGACGAGGCACUACGGUGCUGAAGCAACAAAUGCCCUGCUUCCAGGAAAAGCCUCUAAGCAUCAGGUAACAUCAAAUCGUACCCCAAACCGACACAGGUGGUCAGGUAGAGAAUACCAAGGCGCUUGAGAGAACUCGGGUGAAGGAACUAGGCAAAAUGGUGCCGUAACUUCGGGAGAAGGCACGCUGAUAUGUAGGUGAAGCGACUUGCUCGUGGAGCUGAAAUCAGUCGAAGAUACCAGCUGGCUGCAACUGUUUAUUAAAAACACAGCACUGUGCAAACACGAAAGUGGACGUAUACGGUGUGACGCCUGCCCGGUGCCGGAAGGUUAAUUGAUGGGGUCAGCGCAAGCGAAGCUCUUGAUCGAAGCCCCGGUAAACGGCGGCCGUAACUAUAACGGUCCUAAGGUAGCGAAAUUCCUUGUCGGGUAAGUUCCGACCUGCACGAAUGGCGUAAUGAUGGCCAGGCUGUCUCCACCCGAGACUCAGUGAAAUUGAACUCGCUGUGAAGAUGCAGUGUACCCGCGGCAAGACGGAAAGACCCCGUGAACCUUUACUAUAGCUUGACACUGAACAUUGAGCCUUGAUGUGUAGGAUAGGUGGGAGGCUUUGAAGUGUGGACGCCAGUCUGCAUGGAGCCGACCUUGAAAUACCACCCUUUAAUGUUUGAUGUUCUAACGUUGACCCGUAAUCCGGGUUGCGGACAGUGUCUGGUGGGUAGUUUGACUGGGGCGGUCUCCUCCUAAAGAGUAACGGAGGAGCACGAAGGUUGGCUAAUCCUGGUCGGACAUCAGGAGGUUAGUGCAAUGGCAUAAGCCAGCUUGACUGCGAGCGUGACGGCGCGAGCAGGUGCGAAAGCAGGUCAUAGUGAUCCGGUGGUUCUGAAUGGAAGGGCCAUCGCUCAACGGAUAAAAGGUACUCCGGGGAUAACAGGCUGAUACCGCCCAAGAGUUCAUAUCGACGGCGGUGUUUGGCACCUCGAUGUCGGCUCAUCACAUCCUGGGGCUGAAGUAGGUCCCAAGGGUAUGGCUGUUCGCCAUUUAAAGUGGUACGCGAGCUGGGUUUAGAACGUCGUGAGACAGUUCGGUCCCUAUCUGCCGUGGGCGCUGGAGAACUGAGGGGGGCUGCUCCUAGUACGAGAGGACCGGAGUGGACGCAUCACUGGUGUUCGGGUUGUCAUGCCAAUGGCACUGCCCGGUAGCUAAAUGCGGAAGAGAUAAGUGCUGAAAGCAUCUAAGCACGAAACUUGCCCCGAGAUGAGUUCUCCCUGACUCCUUGAGAGUCCUGAAGGAACGUUGAAGACGACGACGUUGAUAGGCCGGGUGUGUAAGCGCAGCGAUGCGUUGAGCUAACCGGUACUAAUGAACCGUGAGGCUUAACCUUACAACGCCGAAG